rnacentral:rRNA from 1 species
GAUGAACGCUGGCGGCGUGCCUAACACAUGCAAGUCGAGCGGAGAAUUGUUGCUUGCAACAAUUCUUAGCGGCGGACGGGUGAGUAACACGUGGGUAACCUGCCCUAAACAAAGGGAUAACAAUGAGAAAUCAUUGCUAAUACCGUAUAAGCUUACACUAUCGCAUGAUAGAGUAAGAAAAGAUUUAUCGGUUUAGGAGGGGCCCGCGUCUGAUUAGCUAGUUGGAGAGGUAACGGCUCACCAAGGCGACGAUCAGUAGCCGACCUGAGAGGGUGAUCGGCCACAUUGGGACUGAGACACGGCCCAAACGCCUACGGGAGGCAGCAGUGGGGAAUAUUGCACAAUGGAGGAAACUCUGAUGCAGCAACGCCGCGUGAAGGAAGAAGGUUUUCGGAUCGUAAACUUCUAUCUACAGGGAAGAAAAAAAUGACGGUACCUGAGUAAGAAGCCCCGGCUAACUACGUG